CCAGCCCUGUCAAUACACCUUCGAUUUUCCCCAGUCGUGCUGGUCCAUUUGCUUUGUAGUACAUAGUCGCUUACUAAUUGACUUCAUUGGGUAAAGAAAGCACUACUAGCAGUGGGACUGAUUGUUUUUUAUUCGUGGCUGACAUCGGGAUGAUUUGCGAGUAUUAAAACAAGGUGUGUGGCUACAGAGUGGAUAUAGAUCUAUUACAUACCUGAAUCAUUCAGGAGUCACCAUCAUUGGUCAUCCCAGCUGGCAGUCAGAUUGUGUCCAGUAUUGGUGAG